rnacentral:precursor_RNA from 12 species
ACCUGUGCCCCUUGCAGUCUCAACUGCCUCAUUCAUACCACACUCUCAUUCUUAUCUGUAUCUAGAAUGGGGUGUCCUGGUGUGAAUGAUUCUGUUGAGGAUUCAUCAACCCGCAACGC